ACGCAAUCAGCGACUCCGUGGAAACUUGGAAGCGGAGGGCCGUAGGACAGCCAAUGGCCAGAGACUGCAAAGAACUGUAAAUAAUCCUAGAGCCGCCGUGCUUCUGGGAACACAAAGACCCAAGUCAGUUUUCUGGGCAUCACUUCAAAAACGUAAAGGAUGGUGGCAAAUGUAGGAUCUGGGUUCCAGAGAGACAGGCCAAAGGUCCCCAAGCAUUCAUCAUCCUGAAGGACUUCAGAGUACACUUG